rnacentral:rRNA from 1 species
AUGAGACAGAUGGGUGGAUGGCAAGUGGGCCAAGAUCUACAUGCAACCGGACAAAGGGGGGCGAAGAGGGCACAAAGAACGUCCGCUUUGUGUCCGCUUUUGACCCAAUUUUUUCACAGAUUUGAGCCCAAAAUGGGUCCGAACGGACACCAAACGAACAGCAGGCGGACGCUAUGUCCGUUUGGGUCGCCCUGUUGGGAUGAGUUUUGUGUCCGAAUGACCCAAAUGGACAAAAUGGAUCGUCCCAUUGAAAUUGCUCUAACAUAUGAAACAAUAGUGAGAGCAAAUUAUUCCCUGGAAAAAAUUAAUCAGAAGACUUAA